GAUGAACGCUAGCUACAGGCUUAACACAUGCAAGUCGAGGGGAAACGGCAUCGAGUGCUUGCACUCUUUGGACGUCGACCGGCGCACGGGUGAGUAACGCGUAUCCAACCUUCCCAUUACUGUGGGAUAACCUGCCGAAAGGCAGACUAAUACCGCAUAGUCUUCGAUGACGGCAUCAGAUUUGAAGUAAAGAUUUAUCGGUAAUGGAUGGGGAUGCGUCUGAUUAGCUUGUUGGCGGGGUAACGGCCCACCAAGGCUACGAUCAGUAGGGGUUCUGAGAGGAAGGUCCCCCACAUUGGAACUGAGACACGGUCCAAACUCCUACGGGAGGCAGCAGUGAGGAAUAUUGGUCAAUGGACGGAAGUCUGAACCAGCCAAGUAGCGUGCAGGAUGACGGCCCUAUGGGUUGUAAACUGCUUUUGUAUGGGGAUAAAGUUAGGGACGUGUCCCUAUUUGCAGGUACCAUACGAAUAAGGACCGGCUAAUUCCGUG
rnacentral:rRNA from 1 species